rnacentral:rRNA from 1 species
CCUACGGGAGGCAGCAGUGGGGAAUUUUGGACAAUGGGCGCAAGCCUGAUCCAGCCAUGCCGCGUGCGGGAAGAAGGACUUCGGGUUGUAAACCGCUUUUGUCAGGGAAGAAACGCUCUGGGCUAAUACCCUGGGGUAAUGACGGUACCUGAAGAAUAAGCACCGGCUAACUACGUGCCAGCAGCCGCGGUAAUACGCAGGGUGCAAGCGUUAAUCGGAAUUACUGGGCGUAAAGCGUGCGCAGGCGGUCUUGCAAGACAGAUGUGAAAUCCCCGGGCUCAACCUGGGAACUGCAUUUGUGACUGCAAGGCUAGAGUACGGUAGAGGGGGAUGGAAUUCCGCGUGUAGCAGUGAAAUGCGUAGAUAUGCGGAGGAACACCGAUGGCGAAGGCAAUCCCCUGGACCUGUACUGACGCUCAUGCACGAAAGCGUGGGGAGCAAACAGGAUUAGAUACCCUGGUAGUCCACGCCCUAAACGAUGUCAACUGGUUGUUGGGAAGGUUCCUUCUCAGUAACGUAGCUAACGCGUGAAAGUUGACCGCCUGGGGAGUACGGCCGCAAGGUUGAAACUCAAAUUGAAUUGACGGCNGAGAGNGCGAGACGACACGAGGAGGAGG